rnacentral:rRNA from 1 species
UACGAAAGGAGCAGGUGUUAUUCAGAUUAACUGGGCGUAAAGGGCACGUAGGUGGUUUGUUAUGUGGAUUAUUAAAUUGUAAAGCUUAACUUUAUAACGUAAUCUAAACAACUAAACUAGAGUUAGGUAGAGGGUAGUAGAAUUUCUAAUGUAGAGGUGAAAUUUGAUAAAUUAGAGAGAAUACCAAUGGCGUAGGCAACUAUCUGGGCCUUAACUGACACUGAGGUGCGAAGGUAUGGGGAGCGAAUAGG